rnacentral:lncRNA from 1 species
GAAACUGAAACUUAAAUGCAAAGGCUAUCCUAGUUCAAUUCAAACAAAUCAUGUAUCUAUGUUCCAAUCUUCAGCACUGUAUUAAAGAGAACAACUUGGAAAUGAGCUUAGGAUCCACAGGUCCUGGGAAAUAGCUUAGGACCCAUAGAUAAAGUUGGUGAAGUUCUCCAUCUCCUCCUAGUUCUUCAAUGUGGCUGAUCCAGAAAUCUGUCAUAUAUAAUCACAUCCUGGUGACCACCUCUGUAUUGGAUAGCAAGAUUCAACCAACUUGACUUGACCCACUGAUCACCACCCACGCCCCACAUGGACUACUCAGACUUUCUGCAUUGACCAAUUCUCAUUUACCUCUUGAUGGAGCUCAUGUGUGCUUGCUCCAAACCCACCAAUUAGAACUCCCCACAGGAAAUCUGUUUGGGUAAUACUCUGGACCCCAUUGAAGUCUUCAGCCCACAGAUUUCUCACUCUCUCUUGCUUCUCACCUACUGGAUGGCCCGCUUUCUGUUGGUCCUGUGAGGCAUGCUGCCCUUUCCUCUCUGGGAUCUGUAAGUAAUAAAAUGCUUCUUUUGUUUU